GCUAAACGCGAAGAACCUUACCUGGUCUUGACAUGUCUGGAAUCCCGAAGAGAUUCGGGAGUGCCGCAAGGAACCAUGAGACAGGUGCUGCAUGGCUGUCGUCAGCUCGUGUCGUGAGAUGUUGGGUUAAGUCCCGCAACGAGCGCAACCCUUGUCCUUAGUUGCCAUCAUUAAGUUGGGAACUCUAAGGAGACCGCCGGUGACAAACCGGAGGAAGGUGGGAUGACGUCAAGUCAUCAUGGCCUUUAUGGCCAGGGCUACACACGUGCUACAAUGGCAGGUACAGAGGGAAGCCAACCAGCAAUGGGAGCCAAUCCCAGAAAGCCUGUCUUAGUCCGGAUUGCAGUCUGCAACUCGACUGCAUGAAGUUGGAAUCGCUAGUAAUCGCAGAUCAGCAUUGCUGCGGUGAAUACGUUCCCGGGUCUUGUACACACCG
rnacentral:rRNA from 1 species